ACGGAAGGCAGCAGUGGGGGAUAUUGCACAAUGGGGGAAACCCUGAUGCAGCGACGCCGCGUGAACGAAGAAGUAUUUCGGUAUGUAAAGUUCUAUCAGCAGGGAAGAUAAUGACGGUACCUGACUAAGAAGCACCGGCUAAAUACGUGCCAGCAGCCGCGGUAAUACGUAUGGUGCAAGCGUUAUCCGGAUUUACUGGGUGUAAAGGGAGCGCAGACGGCAUAGCAAGCCAGAUGUGAAAGGUGGGGGCUCAACCCCCAAACUGCAUUUGGAACUGUUAAGCUAGAGUGUCGGAGAGGUAAGUGGAAUUCCUAGUGUAGCGGUGAAAUGCGUAGAUAUUAGGAGGAACACCAGUGGCGAAGGCGGCUUACUGGACGAUAACUGACGUUGAGGCUCGAAAGCGUGGGGAGCAAACAGGAUUAGAUACCCUGGUA
rnacentral:rRNA from 1 species